GCGGGUCCUGCACGCGGGCGUGCGGCGCCACGAGGUGGGACACGUCCAGCAGCCAGUCAGGGCCCAGCAGAAAAUGAAGCUGAGAACUUCAAGCACUUGCCUGGGCUCCCACAGCAGGAACGCGGUGGAGCUGGGAGUCAAAGCCCAGGCACCAACCACUACAGGAGCCUGCUGUCCAUCAUGCCCCCUGUAGGCUUCACUAGACUGUGGGUCUCCCCUCUUCUGCUGGGUGGCACCUUCCUCCUUCAGGGCCAAGAGGGAAUGUCGCCUCCUUUUUAAGGAAGCCCUCCUUGAUGGUUUGCCCUCCCACCAGUCCCCUCAGUCUUUUGCACCCCUGCUUGCCUCCUCUAAAGUAGUUAGUUAUC